rnacentral:rRNA from 1 species
GCAUAUAACUAGGCGGAGGAAAAGAAAUUAACGAAGAUUUCCCUAGUAACGGCGAGUGAAAAGGAAAUAGUUCAGCGCCGAAUCCCUUAGCCCGUGGUUAAGGGACCUGUGGCGUGAAGGAGAGCCUAUCUGACGGGCUAUAAGCUUCGGAAUAUUCCUCGAAUGGGAACCCGUAGCAGGUGCGAGGCCUGUAACGAGGCGAUACCCGUCAGUUUGCGCCUCCGUAGAGUCGGGUUACUUGGGAGUGUAGCCCAAAGUGGAAGGUAAACCCCUUCUAAAACUAAAUAUUACCACGAGACCGAUAGCGAACAAGUACCGCGAGGGAAAGUUGAAAAGAACUUUGAAGAGAGAGUUAAAUAGGGCGUGAAACCGCUUAGAAGAAAACGGACGGAGCCGUCGGGGGCCUUCGGGAAUCAGUCGCACGAUGCGCGGAUACGUCGCGGUUCGGAACGCAAGUCCGGCCGUGGCGUGAAAUAGUAGCGUUCGUACGGCGCAUUUCUCGAAGGUAAGCACCGCGACCGAUACCGUAGGCCGGCGAAGCGAUCGGAUUGAGGGCGAGUCCUCCCGCGGGGACUCGUAACCAGUCCUUUCGUACGCUCGUUGGACCGAAGUAAAGUAUCGAGCGCCAAAGUAACAGGUACGUCGGCUUGAAAGCUCGCCCGAGUAAUGGAUAGUCGGUCAAUCGGUUGGUAUCUGCUCGCAGGUGCCGAUCUAUUCGAUCCGGCUUAGAAGUUAUCGGCGACGCUCGACGUAUCGGCGUCCGCGGUGUCAGUGUCGGCCACCCGUCCGACCCGUCUUGAAACACGGACCAAGGAGUCUAACAUAUGCGCGAGCUAAUGGGUGGAAAACCCAAAGGCGCAAUAAAAGUAAACGCUGUUUCGGACAGCUAAGGUACGAUCCGAGGAUCCGAGCGAUCUUGGGCGCAGUACCGUCCCGUCCCGACCGCAUAUCGGUAGGGCGGAGAUAGAGUGCAUACGUUGGGACCCGAAAGAUGGUGAACUAUGCCUGAGCAGAGCGAAGCCAGAGGAAACUCUGGUGGAGGUUCGUAGCGGUUCUGACGUGCAAAUCGAUCGUCAGACUUGGGUAUAGGGGCGAAAGACUAAUCGAGCCAUC